ACGGGAGGCAGCAGUCGGGAAUAUUGCGCAAUGGAGGAAACUCUGACGCAGUGACGCCGCGUGCAGGAAGAAGGUUUUCGGAUUGUAAACUGCUUUAGACAGGGAAGGAAAAAGACAGUACCUGUAGAAUAAGCUCCGGCUAACUACGUGCCAGCAGCCGCGGUAAUACGUAGGGAGCAAGCGUUAUCCGGAUUUAUUGGGCGUAAAGGGUGCGUAGACGGAGAAGCAAGUUAGUUGUGAAAUCCCUCGGCUUAACUGAGGAACUGCAACUAAAACUACUUCCCUUGAGUACUGGAGAGGAAAGUGGAAUUCCUAGUGUAGCGGUGAAAUGCGUAGAUAUUAGGAGGAACACCAGUGGCGAAGGCGACUUUCUGGACAGCAACUGACGUUGAGGCACGAAAGUGUGGGGAGCAAACAGGAUUAGAUACCCUGGUA
rnacentral:rRNA from 1 species